GACGAACGCUGGCGGCGUGCCUAAUACAUGCAAGUAGAACGCUGAAGAGAGGAGCUUGCUCUUCUUGGAUGAGUUGCGAACGGGUGAGUAACGCGUAGGUAACCUGCCUUGUAGCGGGGGAUAACUAUUGGAAACGAUAGCUAAUACCGCAUAACAAUGGAUGACCCAUGUCAUUUAUUUGAAAGGGGCAAAUGCUCCACUACAAGAUGGACCUGCGUUGUAUUAGCUAGUAGGUGAGGUAACGGCUCACCUAGGCGACGAUACAUAGCCGACCUGAGAGGGUGAUCGGCCACACUGGGACUGAGGCACGGCCCAGACUCCUACGGGAGGCAGCAGUAGGGAAUCUUCGGCAAUGGGGGCAACCCUGACCGAGCAACGCCGCGUGAGUGAAGAAGGUUUUCGGAUCGUAAAGCUCUGUUGUAAGUCAAGAACGAGUGUGAGAGUGGAAAGUUCACACUGUGACGGUAGCUUACCAGAAAGGGACGGCUAACUACGUGCCAGCAGCCGCGGUAAUACGUAGGUCCCGAGCGUUGUCCGGAUUUAUUGGGCGUAAAGCGAGCGCAGGCGGUUUGAUAAGUCUGAAGUUAAAGGCUGUGGCUCAACCAUAGUUCGCUUUGGAAACUGUCAAACUUGAGUGCAGAAGGGGAGAGUGGAAUUCCAUGUGUAGCGGUGAAAUGCGUAGAUAUAUGGAGGAACACCGGUGGCGAAAGCGGCUCUCUGGUCUGUAACUGACGCUGAGGCUCGAAAGCGUGGGGAGCGAACAGG
rnacentral:rRNA from 1 species